UACGUAGGGGGCAAGCGUUACCCGGAUUACUGGGCGUAAAGCGCGUGUAGGCGGCUGGCCAAGUGUGGUGUGAAAUCCCCCGGCUCAACCGGGGAACUGCAUUGCAAACUGGUCUGGCUAGAGUGCAGGAGAGGGAAGUGGAAUUCCCGGUGUAGCGGUGAAAUGCGCAGAUAUCAGGAGGAACACCAAUGGCGAAGGCAGCUCGCUGGGACGUGACUGACGCUGAGACGCGAAAGCGUGGGGAGCAAACAGG
rnacentral:rRNA from 1 species